rnacentral:rRNA from 1 species
UACGUAGGGGGCAAGCGUUGUCCGGAUUUAUUGGGCGUAAAGAGCGUGUAGGCGGCCAAGCAGGUCAGCUGUGAAAACUCGAGGCUCAACCUCGAGACGUCGGUUGAAACCGCUUGGCUAGAGUCCGGAAGAGGAGAGUGGAAUUCCCGGUGUAGGCGGUGAAAUGCGCAGAUAUCGGGAAGAACACCCGUGGCGAAGGCGGCUCUCUGGGACGGUACUGACGCUGAGACGCGAAAGCGUGGGGAGCGAGCAGG